GGUGUAGUCAGUGGUUUGAGCACUGGACUAUGAUUCUGGAGGCCAGGGUUCAAAUCCAGGCUCAACCA
rnacentral:tRNA from 1 species